rnacentral:rRNA from 1 species
CUACCGGCAGCCCUAGUGGUGACCCCUAUUAUUGAGCCUAAAACGUCCGUAGCCGGCCCGGCAAAUCUCUGGGCAAAUCGGGCAGCUUAACUGUUCGACUUCUAGAGAGACUACCGGGCUUGGGACCGGGAGAGGCCAGAGGUACGUCGGGGGUAGGGGUAAAAUCCCUUAAUCCUUGACGGACCACCGGUGGCGAAGGCGUCUGGCUAGAACGGAUCCGACGGUAAGGGACGAAGGCUAGGGGCGCAAACCGGAUUAGAAACCCUAGUAGUCC